rnacentral:snRNA from 1 species
UGGCUAGCCAAAAGAAGAAAAUUGUAAGACUGCAGAGAAUAUUAACAUGGCCCUUUUUAAAGGAUGAAUGCACAUUUGUGAAGCAUUCCAUAUGCAU